GAGCUGGUGGUGCUGGGGGAGGAAGGCUCAAGGCCCAGGUCCACUGCAGGGUGUCAGGGUUUGGGAGCAGGGCCCGGGCUGAGGGAGGCCAAAGGGCCCAGGCAAGGGGCAGGGCUAUGUUUACCCAAAGAGAGCCCACAGGGCCAAGGGGCCAGGUCAAGUCCCCUGGCCCAGGUGAGCAUCCUGGAAAGGAGAUCAGGAAAGCUGCCUGGC
rnacentral:lncRNA from 1 species